rnacentral:rRNA from 1 species
UAAUACGUAGGUGGCAAGCGUUGUCCGGAUUUACUGGGCGUAAAGAGCGCGCAGGCGGUCGGAUAAGUCGAAUGUGAAAGCCCCUGGCUCAACCAGGGAGGGUCAUUCGAUACUGUUCGACUCGAAGGCAGGAGAGGGAAGUGGAAUUCCGGGUGUAGUGGUGAAAUGCGUAGAUAUCCGGAGGAACACCAGUGGCGAAGGCGACUUUCUGGCCUGUUCUUGACGCUGAGGCGCGAAAGCUAGGGGAGCAAACGGGAUUAGAUACC